rnacentral:ribozyme from 1 species
CCCCGGCUGUUACUGCUACCUUGACGUGGUGGUCGGGCUUGCUUAUCGUGAUGAACCAGUCGACCUAUACUGGCUGGAACAAUCGCCCCUCGUUGUCCUACCAUGCCAGACUGGUCGGUUGAAGAGCGGUAAGACUAAAAGCAGC